GCUACUGGAGCCUGUCUCAAUGGCGCUCUCCUCGGAUGUCUGAGAGCUACAAGGGGACACCAAUAACAGACGUUAGUGCCAUCUGUGGUGCAGCAUAGACAAGGGCUGUACCAGUCCUAAAUUCUGACAAGGGUGGACUCCUCAACCAACACUGACUAAAACACAGCACUAAAGCCAAGCAAGCACACACCAAUACCUCAGAGGAGAGAGUGAAAAGAGGACGGAGAGAAGAGGAAGAAAACUGCAUGUGCGUACCACUUGAUCCUUUCUGAGAGAGUGGGUGGUCGUAAGAAGGCUCCCAGGAGGUUGACAAUGUUGAGAUGUGGUCCAAGAUGAGUCAUGAUCUUCAGUUCAGACAUGAGGGCCUGUUUCUCACUGGAGCGGGCCGUGGCUGAAAGAAGGUGCAGCAACCGUGUCUAUCAUCCUGCAUAAUCCAUCCAUCAAGCAAGUCAACCCUGCAGUCACCCAAACCUUUUUCAUCUGAAUUCUAUAACUGCUGUACAACAGUGUCUUUAUUAUCCUGUAGAUGCUUUUGUAUCUGCCUUUUGAUCACUUUUUCCAAUUCUCUGCUGCCGCCACAAGUACAAGGUUCCGCACCAGUUGAAUAAAAACAGCUGUCACAUGAGGUGUUGCUACACUUACGUCUUUCAAUUUUUUUCUGUAACAUUUUAAUAUUAAAGGGUUUAACAGGC